ACAGAGGGGGCAAGCGUUGCUCGGAAUUACUGGGCGUAAAGGGCGCGUAGGCGGGAUGGUAAGUCGGUCGUGAAAUCCCUCGGCUCAACCGAGGAACGUCGAUCGAUACUACCGUUCUUGAGGAUUGCAGAGGAGACUGGAAUUCCCGGUGUAGCGGUGAAAUGUGUAGAGAUCGGGAGGAACACCUGAGGCGAAGGCGGGCUACUGGGCCGAUACUGACGCUGAUGCGCGAAAGCCAGGGGAGCAAACGGGA
rnacentral:rRNA from 1 species